GCUGAAAUGGAUCAUCAGAAUUAUCUCUCUCUGUGUGUCUCUCCCCUUUCUGCUUUUCCUCCUUUGUUUUUCUGUGUUCUGUCCUCAGCUAGGCCCUCCCACUGUGAUGGUCAGUAGAAGAAGAUGCAGGUUCUAUUACAUUGCACCCAGUCUAGUUUUCCAGGGGGAAGAAAGGGCAUGUUUUUCCUAUGGUUUUAGCAAAGAUCCAUGGGAAAUUCUCUUUACUUCAUCUUAAUAAUAUGACUUCGGUUUUGCACUGAAUGUGUUUCCCCAGAAUUCACAUGCUGAAACCCAACCCCUCAGUGUGAUGGUAUAAGAGGUGGAGCCUUUGGGAGGUAAUUAGGAUCAGAUUAUGUCACGAAGGUGGAACCCCCAGGAAUGGGGUUAGUGCCCUGAUCAGAGUCCUGGGACAGUCUCCUUCCUCUCCCUGUUCUCAGCAACGUGGAGAUACAAGAAAUGGACAGUCUGCAACUCCAGAAGAGAACUCUCAUGCGAAUCAACCAUACUGGCACUUUGACAUCGGGUGGGCAGAUGGUUGUUCACACAAGGAGCCGGGUCUGCAUAAUUGUAUCACUAAUCAGCAGUAAGGCAAUUAGUUGUGUAAGUGUGCUAUAAUCAUUCUAACAGAAGAGAUGACGAAAAGACAAAAAAAAAGGGGGGGC
rnacentral:lncRNA from 12 species